rnacentral:rRNA from 1 species
GAUGAACGCUGGCGGCGUGCCUAAUACAUGCCAGUCGAGCGAACGGACGAGAAGCUUGCUUCUCUGAUGUUAGCGGCGGACGGGUGAGUAACACGUGGAUAACCUACCUAUAAGACUGGGAUAACUUCGGGAAACCGGAGCUAAUACCGGAUGAUAUUUUGAACCGCAUGGUUCAAAAGUGAAAGACGGUCUUGCUGUCACUUAUAGAUGGAUCCGCGCUGCAUUAGCUAGUUGGUAAGGUAACGGCUUGCCAAGGCAACGAUGCAUAGCCGACCUGAGAGGGUGAUCGGCCACACUGGAACUGAGACACGGUCCAGACUCCUACGGGAGGCAGCAGUAGGGAAUCUUCCGCAAUGGGCGAAAGCCUGACGGAGCAACGCCGCGUGAGUGAUGAAGGUCUUCGGAUCGUAAAACUCUGUUAUUAGGGAAGAACAUAUGUGUAAGUAACUGUGCACAUCUUGACGGUACCUAAUCAGAAAGCCACGGCUAACUACGUG